GUUGUGGUCGCAUUGAUGCCAUUACUUUUGUUGUUGUUGUUGUUUUGUAGUGGUGUUUAUUGUGGUGAAACUACUAGCUUAUGAAAUAGUUGUAGUGGUGUUUAUUGUGGUGAAACUAGUAGCUUAUGAUAUAGUUGUAUUUGUCGACAAAAUAAAAAAAAAAAACACUGCAUAGACCGAUAGAAUAAGUACUAGGCUUACAA